rnacentral:tRNA from 1 species
GACAGUUUGGCCGAGUGGUUAAGGCGCGUGCCUGCUAAGCACGUGUGCUCUGCACGCGUGGGUUCGAAUCCCACAGCUGUCG